rnacentral:rRNA from 1 species
GACGAACGCUGGCGGCGUGCUUAACACAUGCAAGUCGAACGGAAAGGCCCUGCUUUUGUGGGGUGCUCGAGUGGCGAACGGGUGAGUAACACGUGAGUAACCUGCCCUUGACUUUGGGAUAACUUCAGGAAACUGGGGCUAAUACCGGAUAGGAGCUCCUGCUGCAUGGUGGGGGUUGGAAAGUUUCGGCGGUUGGGGAUGGACUCGCGGCUUAUCCGCUUGUUGGUGGGGUAGUGGCUUACCAAGGCUUUGACGGGUAGCCGGCCUGAGAGGGUGACCGGCCACAUAGGGACUAAGAUACGGCCCAGACCCCUACGGGAGGCAGCAGUGAGGAAUAUUGCACAAUGGGCGGAAGCCUGAUGCAGCAACGCCGCGUGCGGGAUGACGGCCUUCGGGUUGUAAACCGCUUUCGCCUGUGACGAAGCGUGAGUGACGGUAAUGGGUAAAGAAGCACCGGCUAACUACGUG